rnacentral:lncRNA from 1 species
UUGGAGCUUAAAGAUUCGCCGGAUUAACUCAGGUAAGGGGGGUUUAUCGUCGAUUAAUGGGUAUUUUGGGAUAAUAUGUCAUGGGUAGUGAUAAGCCGUUAAUUUGACCCUAAUUGGGAUUUGUAAAUGUUGAAAUGUUGUUGGAUGAACUGUGUUGAAAGUUGAAAUUAAAUCGGUAUUUGUGCGAGUAAUGUUUUCCCGAUCGUAUAGCUGUUUACGGAAUCGGAAUCGGAGGUCCGGAAGUCUUCCAACGGCGGAAUUCUGCAUUCUGCCGUGUGUUAGCG